rnacentral:rRNA from 1 species
UACGAAGGGGGCUAGCGUUGCUCGGAAUCACUGGGCGUAAAGUGCACGUAGGCGGAUUGUUAAGUCAGGGGUGAAAUCCUGGAGCUCAACUCCAGAACUGCCUUUGAUACUGGCGAUCUCGAGUCCGGGAGAGGUGAGUGGAACUGCGAGUGUAGAGGUGAAAUUCGUAGAUAUUCGCAAGAACACCAGUGGCGAAGGCGGCUCACUGGCCCGGUACUGACGCUGAGGUGCGAAAGCGUGGGGAGCAAACAGG